rfam:Xanthomonas fragariae strain PD5205 genome assembly, chromosome: 1
GGCGUAUUUCGCUCAGGCAGAGCUCGACCGCCGCUUCAAGCCAUGACCGGUUUCGUUGCCGAGCAUCACCACGCGUACGGAGUCGAGCCGAUCUGCCGGGUUCUGGAGAUCGCUCCG